rnacentral:rRNA from 2 species
GGGGCNUGCUAUACAUGCAAGUCGAGCGGACCGACGGGAGCUUGCUCCCUUAGGUCAGCGGCGGACGGGUGAGUAACACGUGGGUAACCUGCCUGUAAGACUGGGAUAACUCCGGGAAACCGGGGCUAAUACCGGAUGCUUGAUUGAACCGCAUGGUUCAAUUCUAAAAGGGGGCUUUUAACUACCACUUUCAGAUGGACCCCCGGCGCAUUAACUAAUUGGGGAAGUAACGGCUCCCCAAGGGCACCAAGCGUAACCCAACUGAAAAGGUGAUCGGCCCCACUGGGACUGAAACCCGGCCCAGAAUCCUACGGGAAGGAGCACUAAGGAAUCUUCCGCAAUGGACCAAAGUCUGACCGAACCACGCCCCGUGAAUGAUGAAGGGUUUCCGAACCUAAAACUCUGAUGGUAAGGAAAAACAAGUACCGUUCCAAUAAGGCGGUACCUUGACGGUACCUAACCAGAAAGCCCCGGCUAACCACGUGCCAGCAGCCGCGGUAAUAAGUAAGUGGCAAGCGUUGUCCGGAAUAAUUGGGCGUAAAGCGCGCGC